GACGAACGCUGGCGGCGUGCUUAACACAUGCAAGUCGAGCGGUAAGGCCCUUUCGGGGUACGACGAGCGGCGAACGGGUGGAGUAACACGUGGGUGGACCUCGCCCUCCAGCUCUGGGAGUAAGCCGUCGGGAAACCGGGGUACCGUAAUAACCGGAGUAUGACUCCAUGACGCAUGUUGUGGGGUGGAAAGCCUUGUGCGGCUGAGGAUGGGCCCGCCGGCCUAUCAGCUUGUUGGUGGGGUGAUGGCCUACCAAGGCGACGACGGGUAGCCGGCCUGAGAGGGCGACCGGCCACACUGGGA
rnacentral:rRNA from 1 species